UACGAAGGGGGGCUAGCGUUGCUCGGAAUCACUGGGCGUAAAGGGUGCGUAGGCGGCUUGGUAGGUCUGGUGUGAAAGCCCCGGGCUCAGCCCGGGAAGGGCACUAGAAACUGCCAAGCUAGAGUGCCGGAGGGGAGAGUGGAAUUCCUGGUGUAGCGGUGAAAUGCGUAGAUAUCAGGAGGAAUACCGGUGGCGAAAGCGACUCUCUGGACGGCAACUGACGCUGAGGCACGAAAGCGUGGGGAGCAAACAGG
rnacentral:rRNA from 1 species